GCGUUUGUGGUUUAGUGGUAAAAUUGAUCGUUGCCAUGACUUCAAGUCACAGCCUCGAUCAGCCCCGGGUUCGAUUCCCGGCGGACGCA